rnacentral:pre_miRNA from 1 species
UUUGACUUUUCGUCUUAUUUAAAUUUUUUUUGCGAUUGAUAUUUUUGUUUUUAUUAGAUGAUAAAUCAUAAAUAGUACUUUACGUGUGAAUAAUUUUUUUAAUUUUCUGAAAAUUUUUCAAAUAAGACAGAUGGUCAAA